rnacentral:lncRNA from 1 species
GGUGGGUUUGAGCUGUUUUUAAUUUUCUUUUUACCAUUUAGGGGUUGUUGUGUUUUUUGGAUGUUUAUUGUGGUUCCGUUAACUGUGAUUUGAACUUUUGUUGAUCAUUUUGGGGUUGUUGUGCUUUUUGAAUUCAAAGUUUCAAUGUUUUAGGUUUAUGGUUGUUGUUGGGUUAUUUUGACUUAUCUUUUGUACAAUGUUUCCGUUGACAUAUAUUAAGACAAAUAGAUUCGCUAAAGAAAGAAAACAU